rnacentral:lncRNA from 1 species
CUGUGUUGUGCCUCCACCCCUUGUAGAUGUUCCCCCAUGUCUGCAAGUGGUGUGAGGAUCGUUGUGCCGAAUUAUAUAAUGACUGUUUUGCUCCUGUAAUGAAAUGAUUAGCCCUUUUAUUAAAAUCUUUGUGCCUACAUGUGAUAUUUGGGUUGCUUGUGCUAUUAUGCUUGUUUGAUACUGAUAUCCGCUUGAUACAUAUAUAUAUUGCUCGCUUUAAUAACAUUCUAGCCUCUUAGCUAACCAACAUGCUUCGUUGUGCAGAUCAACGUGUAGAUACAUCAG